AGUAAAAGAAAAAAAAAAGAAAUACAGAAAUUUUUAAAAUUUAAAGAAGAAUUUAAAUCUCGCGGUUAUAAGUUUAGCGCAUCGCUACAGCGGUCCGAGAAUAUUUUGAGGCACGUUAAAUUUAAGGAUGAAAGUUUUUUUUUCCCAGUAAACUUUUAUUAUCCCGAACACCAUCAGAAAGACUUUAUUAUGUUUUUCGAAGAAUCCGCUACUUUUCAAGCUCAUAUUAAUGAAAUAUUUAGCUCUCCAGCUCCUUGGGAUAGGGACUAUAAAUACACUUCCUCUAACCUAGACGUCUUUUUUAUUGGUCAAGACUUAAAAAAAAAUUCGUUAUUGGUCCAAGUCGAUCCAGAGUGGACUUUACAGAAAGUUCUGCAACACCAAUUUUUUUUUCUUCAAGGCGACUCUGUUAUCUUUAUACUUUUGCCGCAUGGCAACUCUCCUCAAA